GGGUUGUGAGGUUAAGCGACUAAGCGUACACGGUGGAUGCCCUGGCAGUCAGAGGCGAUGAAGGGCGUGCUAAUCUGCGAUAAGCGCCGGUAAGGUGAUAUGAACCGUUAUAACCGGCGAUACCCGAAUGGGGAAACCCAGUGUGACUCGUCACACUAUCAUUAACUGAAUCCAUAGGUUAAUGAGGCGAACCGGGGGAACUGAAACAUCUAAGUACCCCGAGGAAAAGAAAUCAACCGAGAUUCCCCCAGUAGCGGCGAGCGAACGGGGAGGAGCCCAGAGCCUGAAUCAGCAUGUGUGUUAGUGGAAGCGUCUGGAAAGGCGCGCGAUACAGGGUGACAGCCCCGUACACAAAAGCGCAUGUGCUGUGAGCUCGAUGAGUAGGGCGGGACACGUGGUAUCCUGUCUGAAUAUGGGGGGACCAUCCUCCAAGGCUAAAUACUCCUGACUGACCGAUAGUGAACCAGUACCGUGAGGGAAAGGCGAAAAGAACCCCGGCGAGGGGAGUGAAAAAGAACCUGAAACCGUGUACGUACAAGCAGUGGGAGCCCCACCACUAAGCCAGUGGUGAACUCCACAUACGCAUCCUUUGCUGAGGAUACGGUUAACGGAGCGCAAGCGACGUUCAACCGCAAAAGAAGCAGAGGGGGCUUAGUGGUGG
rnacentral:rRNA from 1 species